CACUUCUAAGGAAGGCAGCAGGCGCGCAAAUUACCCAAUCCUGACUCAGGGAGGUAGUGACAAGAAAUAACAAUAAACCGGCUUAUGCCGGUUUAAUUGGAAUGAGUACAAUUUAAACAUCUUAACGAGGAACAAUUGGAGGGCAAGUCUGGUGCCAGCAGCCGCGGUAAUUCCAGCUCCAAUAGCGUAUACUAAAGUUGUUGCAGUUAAAAAGCUCGUAGUUGGAUUUCUGUGGGGACGGAGCGGCCGGCCGCACAUCGCGGUUCGAGCUAGCGCUUUCCCUACAUCCUGCCGCGAACCGUGCUACCAUUAAUUUGGUGGCGCCGGGGAUCGGCUCGAUUACUUUGAGAAAAAUAGAGUGUUCAAAGCAGGCCACAUGCCUUGAAUAAGUUAGCAUGGAAUAAUAACUAAGGACUUCGGUUCUAUUUUGUUGGUGUUCGGGACUGAAGUAAUGAUUGAUAGGGACAGUUGGGGCGGUCUGUAUUCCAAAGCGAGAGGUGAAAUUCUUAGACCUUCGGAAGACAAACAGCUGCGAAAGCGUUCCGCAAGGAUGUUCCCUUUGAUCAAGAACGAAAGUUGGGGGAUCGAAGACGAUCAGAUACCGUCGUAGUCUCAACUAUAAACUAUACCAGCUAGGGAUCGGCCAACGUUAUUUUAUACCGACUUGGUCGGCACCUUAUGAGAAAUCAAAGCAUCUGGGUUCCGGGGGGAGUAUGGUCGCAAGGCUGAAACUUAAAGGAAUUGACGGAAGGGCACCACCAGCCGUGGAGCCUGUGGCUUAAUUUGACUCAACACGGGAAAACUUACCAGGUCCAGACAUAGUAAGGAUUGACAGAUUGAUAGCUCUUUCUUGAUUCUGUGGGUGGUGGUGCAUGGCCGUUCUUAGUUGGUGGAGUGAUUUGUCUGGUUAAUUCCGUUAACGAACGAGACCCCAGCCUGCUAAAUAGCGCGCGUGAGCUUUGCUCGCGGCGAGCUUCUUAGAGGGACUCUGAUGCGCGAUAGCACAUGGAAGUUUGGGGCAAUAACAGGUCUGUGAUGCCCUUAGAUGUUCUGGGCCGCACACGGGCUACACUGGCGCCUGCAACGAGCAUAUCAGCUGGCCCGAGAGGGUCUUGGCUAAUCUUUUGAACCGGCGCCGUGCUUGGGAUUGACCUUUGCAAUUGUUGGUCAUGCAACGAGGAAUGCCUUGUAAACGCGAGUCAUCAGCUCGCAUUGAAUACGUCCCUGCCCUUUGUACACACCGCCCGUCGCUCCUACCGAUGAAUGUUCCGAUGAAAUUUUCGGAGAGCACCUGUGAACUUGGCUCUGCCUUGCGAACGGGAGGCUCAAAGUCACUUAAAUCUGAACAUU
rnacentral:rRNA from 1 species